CAUAACACACAUGACGAGGCUUUAUUGGAUUUAAGAAUCAAGGCAAAAGACGCUACUCGGAAUCCCUUCUCUGAUCUGUCUGUGUUGUGCAAAGAUUAGCCUAAUGUCAUCAGAGCCAGCCUGGCAUCACGAAACGAUAAGCUACCAGUCGAGUAUUUCUCUCUGAAAUCACUCUAGGGCCGCAAUAUGGUCAAAGAUAUCGAAUAGUUAGGUGGUAGGCCGAAAAGCUGCUUAGAAAGGAAUAUGAAACAGAACAGACAUACAUCUACGGGAAAAUCUAGGAAUGAAGAAGGAACAGAAUUAAAUUAAGGAACACCAAGAAAGCAAUUUAAAGACGUAUGUCAAUACACGAGCAUUGUAAAAGUGAGUAUGGUUUAUCAACCCGGGAAACGGCCAUCUUUACUGUCUAUCAGUAGUCAUGUGAAGUUAGGAAGAAAAUUUCCAGAUGUAGCAGCUUCAGCACUCAUUUACCCUCGUCCGUUACAAAACAAUUAAUUAUAUUAAUUAUCCACGUACCCUUGAUAUUUCGUUGAGUGUAUGUUCAGCUGCUAAGAUGCGACUCCGCGCCAUUUUGUAAUUUUUCGCUUUAUGAAGAAUGUAACUAGGUUUUGUCAAAUAUGGAUGUAUUUUUAAAGGUUAGAUAAAGCAGAACAUACAAUACUUCAAACAAAUAGUAACAGGUGUUUUUCUACGUUGAUGAGACCAAAUUGCAUUAAUCAUUUGCCGUCAAAUUGUAUGGACAUGAUAGAAUUCAAGUUUGAUUUUUUUUUUACACAUCACUUUUCAUAACAAACCGCACUAGUUUUGAUAAAUGACAGUACACAAGGUGGGUACAGAUACAUUAACCUUGGACAUUGCCUGCCAGACAAUUCUAUCCACCAGACAAAGACAUCAUAUUGUAGAAUUUGAUAUUCAUAUCAAGAUAUUUCAAAAGAAUACAACUAAUCAAACCGAAAGGUGAUGUUUUAAAAGUUAACAAACUUUGACGUUGAUCGUUUAUUGUUCUAUUUUUUUUCUUUUGGCUGAAAAUAGUUAGUUUUCGACACAAAUUAAUAUUCAUUACAACUGUUCCUAAAUUUUAAUACGGAAAGAGAAAUGUAAAAGCAUCUGCCUACAGUCGACUGCUAUUAUAUACAAUACACUGCACUUACGGGAUUGUGGCGUAGGGUGUUAGUAAGCCUGCUCACUCGGAGCUGUAUCAACAUUCUAAGCGGCGUUGAGGGUGUUUAGUUGUUGGGCAUUGUCAAACAAUGUUGGCCUAUGCAUCCAUUGACGUACGUAGACUAGUAUUGAUUCAAUAGGCCCUAUUCAUAUUGUUUUCAUAUCUUACGUAUGCUUUUUCAUUAACUAGCCUAUUAUUUAUAAUUGCUGCAAUCUUACUCUAUAUUCUGUACUAAGGAUCGAUCGUUACCCAAAAUGAAAUGUUUCAUUAUAUAGACGCAUCGGCCAGUUUCUUCAUCAUGGGCCUAUGUAUUGUAGCCAUAAUGCAUCCUUCCAUGCUAAUACGAUGUACUACUGUAUAUAUAAUUUUUUAUAUCUUUAUUGAAUUUUUUUGUAAUUGAUCAUCGUUUCAAAACAAUGGUUUGUAUAUUGUGGAGCACUUUUGUGAUUCAAAUUAUAGCCUAAUUGUAUUUUUUAUAUAAACUUCGAGUUUCUGCUUGUCAUUAAAAAGACUGGCCUAAGCAUACACUUUUUAGUUUUUAGUGAGGGAUAACCCUCUAAAACGACCUGUAACUCCUAACUUCAAUGUGUUAGUAGUACCGUAUCUGCUUCUAAAUAUACAUUUAAAUGAUUUAUUCAAUUUGUUUAUUUUUUAAUAUAAUUUUAAUCCUAAGGUUAAGGUUAAACUAGUCUCAAAUUCUGUCUACACUAUGAAAUAUUAAUGUGACAAAUUUGUGUUAUGUGCCCAUAAAUGGGCCUGAUGAUGUCAUGUUACACCCAAAUAUGGGUAUGUCACUGUUCUUUGGCACAUAAUAUUUGAGAGGGUGGACAGAGCUUUGAUUUCCAUGGGAUAGGAAUACAGGAACUUAUUUAUCAUUCUUCGUAUAGGCCUUUGUUUAAACCAAAAGAACAUGUCAUCUCAAGUUUAUUACCAUUGUUGGAUUUAAUAUUAUCAAAUCUAAUAUAAUGUUGAACUGAUUCUUUAUUUACAUACUUUUUAACUAAAAUGAUAAUAACAUUGAUAAUACAAAAUGGAUAAAUAGGUCAAUAUUUUACUUUUAUUUACACAUUUCUAACUGGUAAGUUUCAAUUGCACUAUAAUCAUUAUAGUAAACCAAGAAAUGCAAAAGAUUAAAUAGAUUACAGAUUUAUAAUAAAUAUACAUGUUUUCUUCGUUGAGAAAUAAACAGCACUUAGUUAUAACGAACAAUUUCAUACAUGACACAAAAUGAUGAUUUAUAGGAAAAUUAAUAAACGACUAAAACGGCGGGUAUGGUUUUCUUGCGAAAGAAGUGUCAAUAGACAUUACAUCUGCCGCACCAUAUAAUAAUUAACACAACGAAAAAAAAAGUUUUGUUCAUAAGUAAUUUUCAAAAAAACGAAGAAGAUUAAGACGAAGACGAUACGAGCAAAGAAAUAUUCUAUGGAUGGGCUUCUACAGACUUCCUCAUCGCGGAAAUGUGUCAUCUCAAGUACUCUGUCAUAAGGCAAAGACCAUUCAGCGAGAAAUGAAAAAUGAGUUGAAGUAAAGUUGCUUUUACCGUCUGCAGAUUUCUUACAUUCAUCUGGUCUACACUAGGUCAAUGACACUUUCAGAUAUUCACUUUCUAGUUUUAUUACUCCGAAUGUACUCGUCAGGCGGUCAUUGGCGUUUCUAUCCUUUGUCCACACAUCACUUGUCUGCGGACAAGACAAAAUUGAUGGGGACAAUUUGAGUGAUGAUUGCCUGACCAAAGAAAAACGAAAUGUCAAAUAAUAACCUAUUGUUGACAAACUACGUGAAUCACAAAUUUGAAGUAAGAACAUGCCUUAGGUAAAACGAUACUCAAUUGA